UAACAUGUUCAUCAUCAUUGCAACAACACCAAACUUAUUUUUUAUUUCCUCUUCUGCCUGAAGAUCAUUCAGGCUGAUUGCUGCAGAAAAACAGAUCUGUUCAUAGUUUAUCCAAAGAGAAAAGAUGGAAGCUGUAGUUGUUCUGCUGCUGAUGGUACUCAGAAUUUCUAACGGUGAGCUGUUGGAUUUUUAUGACACAGUUUUGCUCUGAAUUCAGAUCCAUAUAAUUUCUGGAGAUGUGUAUAAUGUUUGCAUGUUUAGCAUUUGUUUGUGGUUUAUUGUGUUGACAUGUGCAUUAGAAAUAUGUAGGAUAGAACCUGUUUAGGAUUUGGUCAUUUGUGUGUUGUGCAGGUGUAGAAACCUCCUGUGAUGGACGACAGGAUAAAACUCAGUGUUAUGGAGCUCUGGGAGGAACUCUGGUCCUGCAGUUGAUGGACAAAGUCCCAGAGAUACUGACAUUCAAAUGGGGGAACUCAACAGGAACGAUUCUGAAUCGGAUUAGAAACGGGUCUGUGACGAAUACAUUAUCAAACAGGUCAGAGUUUAUUUCCCAUAAUGGAACACUGAGGAUGAACAGCCUGAACAGAACUGAUGGUGGUGAAUAUAAACUUGAAAUAUUUAAAGAGGAUGGAGUGAGAACAGCAGUACGGACUCUACAGUUGAACAUCCAAGCUCCUGUGUCGACUGUCCGGCUGACGUCUGAGUGUCUGUCCCAGGGAGAGAAGAGGAUGUCCUGCUCCUCUGAUGGAGACAGUCCUCAGUACAGCUGGACUCUGGAUGGAAACACACUGACAGAUGAUCAGCUCCUCUCUGUUAAUAAUGAGACUAAUGAGAUCAUUCUGAAACAAACAGUGUCAGGACGGCUGGUGUGUUUAGUCAGGAAUCACGUCAGUGAAGCCUCAGUAACAGAGAUGAUUUCAACCUGUGGUGUAGAAACCUCCUGUGAUGGCCGGCAGGAUAAAACUCAGUGUUAUGGAGCUCUGGGAGGGACUCUGGUCCUGCAGUUGAUGGACAAAGUCCCAGAGAUACUGACAUUCAAAUGGUGGAACUCAAAAGGAAUAAUUCUGAGUCGGAUUGGUAAUGGGCCUGUGAUGAAUAGAUUAUCAACCAGGUCAGAGUUUAUUUCCCAUAAUGGAACAUUGAGGAUGAACAGCCUGAGCAGAACUGAUGGUGGUGAAUAUAAACUUGAAAUAUUUAAUGAGGAUGGAGUGAGAACAGCAGUACGGACUCUACAGUUGAACAUCCAAGCUCCUGUGUCGACUGUCCGGCUGACGUCUGAGUGUCUGUCCCAGGGAGAGAAGAGGAUGUCCUGCUCCUCUGAUGGAGACAGUCCUCAGUACAGCUGGACUCUGGAUGGAGACACACUGACAGAUGAUCAGCUCCUCUCUGGGAAUAAUGAGACUAAUGAGAUCAUUCUGAAACAAACAGUGUCAGGACGGCUGGUGUGUUUAGUCAGGAAUCACGUCAGUGAAGCCUCAGUAACAGAGAUGAUUUCAACCUGUGGUGUAGAAACCUCCUGUGAUGGCCGGCAGGAUAAAACUCAGUGUUAUGGAGCUCUGGGAGGAACUCUGGUCCUGCAGUUGAUGGACAAAGUCCCAGAGAUACUGACAUUCAAAUGGUGGAACUCAAAAGGAAUGAUUCUGAUUCAGAUUAGAAACAGGCCUGUGAUGAAUAGAUUAUCAACCCGGUUAGAGUUUAUUUCCCAUAAUGGAACACUGAGGAUGAACAGCCUGAGCAGAACUGAUGGUGGUGAAUAUACACUUGAUAUAUUUAAAGAGGAUGGAGAGAGAACAGCAGUUCGGACUCAACAGUUGAACAUCCAAGGUACGUUUGACCGAGAGCUUUGA
ensembl:lncRNA